AUUGAACGCUGGCGGCAGGCCUUACACAUGCAAGUCGAACGAGUGGCGGACGGGUGAGUAAUGUCUGGGAAACUGCCUGAUGGAGGGGGAUAACUACUGGCAACGGUAGCUAAUACCGCAUACCAUCAGAUGUGCCCAGGUGGGAUUAGCUAGUUGGUGGGGUAACGGCUCACCAAGGCGACGAUCCCUAGCUGGUCUUAGAGGAUGACCAGCCACACUGGAACUAAGACACGGAACAGACUCUUACGGGGGGUAGCAGUGGGGAAUAUUGCACAAUGGGCGCAAGCCUGAUGCAGCCAGGCUGCGUGUAUGAAGAAGGCCUUCGGGUUGUAAAGUACUUUCAGCGGGGAGGCGUUACCCGCAGAAGAAGCACAGGCUAACUCCGUGCCAGCAGCCGCGGUAAUAC
rnacentral:rRNA from 1 species